UCGCCCGAUAGAGGGGGAUAACUACUGGAAACGGUGGCUAAUACCGCAUAAUGUCUACGGACCAAAGCAGGGGCUCUUCGGACCUUGCACUAUCGGAUGAACCCAUAUGGGAUUAGCUAGUAGGUGGGGUAAAGGCUCACCUAGGCGACGAUCUCUAGCUGGUCUGAGAGGAUGAUCAGCCACACUGGGACUGAGACACGGCCCAG
rnacentral:rRNA from 1 species